GCCCAGGUGGCGGAAUUGGUAGACGCGCGGGAUUCAAAAUCCCGUUCUGGCAACAGAGUGAGGGUUCGAUUCCCUCCCUGGGCACCA
rnacentral:tRNA from 1 species